ACCUCUUCAUCCUGUGCAAGUUCCGGCGAACAAGGGCAAGCUGGCUCGUACGCACUGCUGGGCGUCCUCGACGGGCCCGCAACGG
rnacentral:misc_RNA from 1 species